rnacentral:rRNA from 1 species
AUCUUGGAGAGUUUGAUCCUGGCUCAGGACGAACGCUGGCGGCGUGCUUAACACAUGCAAGUCGAACGAAGAACGAUGGGAGCUUGCUCCUAUCAAUCUUAGUGGCGAACGGG